AAAAAAUGUCCGAUGCCAUUGAGAAUCGGGCCUGCUCUCCCGAUUUUUCUAUAUUAUGUCUUUAUUCCGAUAAAUUGAUAAAGCAAUCGACAAUACUCGGCACUAACGACCGGUGGAAGGGGAGGAAGAUACGACUGACUGAUUAUUCGAGGAUGUUGACCAUAUUGAGUUAACCGGCCCUGCUGUGAUAUCUGUGCCGCCAUGCCUCAAGGAUCUCUUACGUCAGUUUAUGAUAUUCAUAGAUGCUGGCGCCACUUGCCGGCGAUGGGAAAACCACAUUGAUAUCUGGAUAUAAGGAUAUUAGGAUACCUUUAACUUGUCAUCGAGCCAUCGAUACCAGAGAAAAUGAUAUGCCUCUCAACGAAAUCGUCCACGUCCCCUCAACGAAAUCGAAAUCGUCCACUUCCCUUGACAUCCGUUCGACACCAAGACUCCGCCAAUCCUCGAAGUCAUCUUAACGUAUUGAAUGUAAUUUUCAAUCAUGAAUAAACAAUACCAUAAUGAACUUUGGAACUAUAAGGAACAAUUGUUGGCCAUAGGUACUACUCGCACCAACUUAAAAUCAUAUGGCCAACGCUUUAAAACCGUAUGUAAAACUCUUCUGCUGUAUCAUAUUUUCCGAUCAUGAAUAAACACCUGUUUACUGA